rnacentral:rRNA from 1 species
UACGUAGGGGGCUAGCGUUGUCCGGAAUCAUUGGGCGUAAAGCGCGCGUAGGCGGCCCGGUAAGUCCGCUGUAAAAGUCAAAGGCUCAACCUUUGAAUGUCAGUGGAUACUGCCGGGCUAGAGUCCGGAAGAGGCGAGUGGAACUCCUGGUGUAGCGGUGGAAUGCGCAGAUAUCAGGAAGAACACCAACGGCGAAGGCAGCUCGCUAGGACGGUACUGACGCUAAGGCGCGAAAGCGUGGGGAGCGAACAGG